rnacentral:rRNA from 1 species
AACGAACGCUGGCGGCAUGCCUAACACAUGCAAGUCGAACGAGACCUUCGAGUCUAGUGGCGCACGGGUGCGUAACGCGUGGGAACCUGCCCUUAGGUUCGGAAUAACUCCCCGAAAGGGGUGCUAAUACCGGAUAAUGUCUUCGGACCAAAGAUUUAUCGCCUUUGGAUGGGCCCGCGUUGGAUUAGCUAGUUGGUAGGGUAAAAGCCUACCAAGGCGACGAUCCAUAGCUGGUCUGAGAGGAUGAUCAGCCACACUGGGACUGAGACACGGCCCAGACUCCUACGGGAGGCAGCAGUGGGGAAUAUUGGACAAUGGGCGAAAGCCUGAUCCAGCAAUGCCGCGUGAGUGAUGAAGGCCUUAGGGUUGUAAAGCUCUUUUACCCGGGAUGAUAAUGACAGUACCGGGAGAAUAAGCUCCGGCUAACUACGUG